rnacentral:rRNA from 2 species
CUUGAAUAACUAUAAGAGGUCCAGCCUGCCCAGUGACUUUGUUCAACGGCCGCGGUAUCCUAACCGUGCGAAGGUAGCGUAAUCACUUGUCUUUUAAAUGGGGACUCGUAUGAAUGGCAUCACGAGGGUUAUACUGUCUCCUUUUUCUAAUCAGUGAAACUAAUCUUCCCGUGAAGAAGCGGGAAUAAACGUAUAAGACGAGAAGACCCUAUGGAGCUUUAAACUCAAUAACAGAUACUAGCCUCACAUCAACCUUCAGAGUAUUAACCUUAAUUUUAGUAUUAUGAUUAUUAGUUUUAGGUUGGGGUGACCGCGGAGUAAAAAUUAACCUCCACAUUGAACGGGACCUAUCCCUGAGCCAAGAACUACAGCUCGAAGCACCAACAAAUUGACAUUAAUUGACCCAAUAUUUUGAUCAACGAAC